rnacentral:misc_RNA from 1 species
UAAUAAGUGUUUUAUGGCACUUUUUAAAUCCAUAUCCACCUUGCGUGCAAUGUCAGUCGAUCUUCUUCAUGGAGAUCGACGCGAACAUCAACCUUUAUCUUUUAACUCUUUGUCUGAAAAAUAUUAUGAAUAAACUAAUUCAAAAUA